AAAAGAAAAAACAGUAGAGAGGAAGAGGAAGAAGAAGAAGAGGG
rnacentral:sRNA from 1 species